CACCUUCUUCCGUCCUUGUCCCGUCCAUCGCAUUUCUUGGAUUGCGGUGAUGCGGGAUUCGCCUUCUCACUUUAGCUCGCUUCCAGACGGAUGUCUGUUGGCUACCCAGAGGAUACUUGGUCGAAGACCGGAAGUUGUGAGCUGCUUGAGCCACAUGUAAAAGAAUCGUUCCUGGCCACUCCCAAGUGAAUGGCAGUCAGAAACUUUCCUCACUUACGUGAACUUCUACAUAUGACUCCAUCCUCCUAUACUAUCAAGGGGAGGUAAUAUUCGGUUUGCACUAUUCGGAUAGUCGUCAGUCAUCGACUAUUCGUUUAACCGCUCAUUUUCGACUAUUCGGUUAACCGUUCGUCGUCGACUAUUCGAAUAGUGCAAGCAUAUAAAUUUAUCAAAAUAUUUUUAUUGAAAAAAGUGAAACAUUUUACCUAACAAUUAACUUGCUUUAAAAUACAAAAAUAACAAUGAUUUCACGGGAACCAUUAAGUAAUGACAAAAUAGUUUUUAACCAUUUAAACUGGGCGAAUGUAUUAAAUCAGUAUUUUUCAUAAAACGUCUACUUUGAUAUAAGACAGUUAAAAGGUUAACAUUUGUUGGUUGCAAGCAGCUUAAGCAAUGUUUCCAGCAAUGGAGAACGUCCUCUCUGAUUCUGAUAAAGUGACUGGAAUUGUGAUUUCAAACAAUUUUCAUUUAUUCGAAUAGUGAUAGUAUAGUCGUAACAUUGCGAAUAGUCGUAACAUUGCGAUUAAUCGAAUAGUACUAACCGGUUAAUAUUCGUACGAACGGUUACAAAACGGAUAUUUGAAUAAUUGGUUUUCAGGUUAAUCGAAUAAUUCUAAGAGCCCUAGUUUAUAUACAUAUUAAGUAUAUAUUAAUAAUUUAGUUUGAUACCUUUAUUAGUGUUUAUGUCAUCUAUUGUAAAGUCAGAUAAGGCAAUGCGAUUAUAAAUUGUAUUCUAUAGAAAGUAGGCCAUAACCAACUGUACUAAAAAGGCCUCAACAAAACGAAAUAAUUUUAUAACUACAUACAUAUGCAUGUACAUAUAAUUUAUAAUAUUUAUUGUGCAAGCAGUUUUAGUGGGCUAUAUUUUAGUAGUCACAAGACCAUUGAGUCAUUGUUAAAAUAUGUAUUUGUUUGUAGAAUGUUAUCAAAAUAUGUAAUUCAAUCAAAAUGUUUUUCAAAUAUGCGUUAUUUUGGACAACAGAAGAAAUGGAGUUCUAAAUUUAUGAUAUGUACUGUACUAUGUACUGGCAAACACGUACACUUGGAGAUACUUUUGAACAUCUUAAUAAAUAUUAUAUUUCACAAAAUACUUAUAUUGUAUCGUUGAAAACAAGCUUAAACAAUAAAAACAUACAAGAUUGUAAGUAACAUAAUGUUGGUUGCUAUUCUUAAGAAUGUGAACAUUGCUGUGUUAGCGCAUGAAAGUUGAAAAUUUUCUACUUCUGUGCAUCUUCGAAUACGAGUUCUAAUUUUUUCUUUCUAAUUUUGUACUAGUUGUGCGGCUAACAACCGCAAUAUUUGCUUUCUAUCCAAUUUUAUUUCACCAAAAUGGAAUUAUUAUUGCCAAUCUGCUGUUAUGGGACUUUAUAACUCGCUUUGCUGUCGUCUGUCACCCACAAAAUUGGAACUGAUUAAAAGCGCAGUUAAUCGGGAAUAACUCUGCCGUCUGUCUAGCCUAUUAGGAAUGUGGGAGAGAGUUUUACAGUUCGUGAAAAAAAACACCCAGAAAAAGUUGCAACAGGUCGUACAUCUGACCUUUUUAAUGACACUUGCCAAACUCAUUUCCGGAACAUUCUGAGAGGGAGGAAGAAACAAACCUCUUUGGACAUUUUUUUUCUAAACGGCCUACAGGUGGAAGCGAGGAAAAUGUAGCGAAAAAGGCAAAGACCAGUGACAUUUUGUAGGUUGGAACGAAUUAAUAGUAGUUCAAUUGUUUUGUAUGGGGAAAUUUGCUUCGAGAUACGAGUAAUAAUUCAAGAUACGAGCAAGGUUGCGGAACGAAUUAAAAUCGUAUGUCGAGGUACCACUGUAAUUUCAAUGUAUAAAAAACAGCAGAUAUAUUUUAUCUCGGAUAUAUUAAGAUAUUGAAAGCAAUAGUUAGGAGAACAUUACUAUAAUACUUUAUUCUAUUUAACUUAUAGCGGAGUAUAAAAACAAUACAAAUUUAAUAAAUAUUCGUUAGAAUAUUACAUAUUGCUUGGUUAACUGGACAGAAUUUUGGGAAAAUUAUUAUUAAUAUACAUACCAAAGAGUUAACUCAAAAUAAUUUGUUUAUUACUUUUAAAUGUAGUGUGUAGGCGAGACGAAUGAUAGACAGAUAUGCAAACAGCAAGUCUUGCAUCUUCUUACAUCUCUAAAACUAAACCUUUCUAAACCUUUAUUUCGAUACUCUUUGGUUACACUUAAGUUAUUCAACUUUUGUCAAUAUGAAGAAAUUUCUUACAUGUUAAAGUUAUAAAUAUAAAUGAUACCUUUGAUAAUUAAGUUUUUCCAAGCGCCAGCACUUCCAUAUAAAUCAACUACAAUAUUUAUAUUAAUAUCAUUAACACAUAUGUACUUUCAAAACACUCUGGCGAUGUAAAAGAUGCUUAUUGCCAGUAGAUUAGAAGAAUCUCACAACAUGGUUAUAAUCUGUGAAGAGCUCCCUAGUCCACUAACCAUAAAGCAUCGAAUUUUUAAUUAUGUUUUUAUUUAAGCUAUUAAUUUAAAUGAAAUAUGUAUAUUAUUAUUAUUGUAAAUUCACAACAAAUAAAUGUAAAUUGAUGAAUUAAUGUAUUUGUAUAAAAUUGUGGAAUGAAAAAUACACCUAUCGACUUUCAAUAAUUACACAACUUGUGCACAUACAAUACGCACCUGAUCGAAGUUUCUUCAAAAUGGACUCGAUGUUGUGUUAAUCGACGCAUUUAUGUAUAUAAUAUUUUCUUAUCUGAAUAUAGAUAAAAUGACAAAUACAAUGGCAGUGCCUUUAAUUCCUAUUAGGGAAAAUCAAACAAAAAAUAAUUGAAUGUUCCCAAUAUAGCCUUCAAGAUUAAACAUAUUUAUUUGAGAGUCAGUUAUAUAGCAGUAAAAAUUUUAAUUAAGUGCAAGAAUCAAGAUAUUUCAACAAAUUUUUUGGUCCUAUAGGGAGGAAUGAAGAUUUUCAAGUCAAGUCAAGAUUUUCAUUUCUUGAAUUUUUGAACCAAGUAAUUUUAUAACGAAUUAAAGUCAUGGUAUAUAUAUCUACCAAUAUAAGGACAAUGCAUUGCUUGUGUUCACAUUUUUUCAAUGGGAUUGUACAAAAAUGUUGUAGAACAUAUUGAAUAGAUUAGUUAAGCACUGUAGUUUUUGUGUGCACAUAUGUACACAUAGUAUUUUUAUACAGAAUUUCAGCAGUAAAAGCAAUUUUUAAACCAGAUACAGUGUCUCAGAAUUAUAAUGGAACAGUAUAUAGUGAUCCUUAUUAUAAGGUUAUAAGUAGUAUGUAUAAAUAUUUUGUAUUUAAUUUUGGAAUGUACAUAUACAUACAUAUAUUAUAUAAAUAAAAACCAAGUAAGGAAGUGCUAAGUUCGGGUGUAACCGAACAUUUUAUACUCUCGCAAUU